CUAGGGAGCAUUACAAAAAGAGGAAUAGCACAAAGCAUGUACGGACAAAAUCAGAAAGGCUAAGGUACAAAAUGAGUUACACUUAGCAAGGGAUAUAAAAACCAGAACGAAGAGGUUCUAUGAAUACAACAGGAACAAGAAACAAAGCGUUGGUUCACCAUUCAGUGGGGAAGAGUUAAUAAUGGAUGGCAUCAAGAAGAUGGAAAUAUUUAAUGCUUAUUUUACUUAAGUUUUUACUAAA